CGCCGAGUGCGCACACGCGCACGUCGCGGGCGGCGGCAGGCGGCGGCAAUGUAACUUAACGCCCCGAACUCCGCCGCCUGCUUGUUGGGGUCCUCCCACAUUCCCGCAGAUCCCCGUGCCGCCGAGGCGCAGCAGGGGAGGGCAGGGCGCGGCGGAGUAGCUGUGCUCGCCAGUGUGGAGAAGCCGAGAAGGUGGACGAGGCCUCGCAGCACGAGGAGAGCCAGUCGCUGCUCGAUGGCGUCAAGGAGGUCGGGCGCUGCGUGGAGCGCACCCGCCGACAUCGAGGGCCAGUCGCUGCCUCGAGGAGCGGGGCGACGAGGUAUGUGCGGUAUGCCGGUAUCCAACGCGACGCGCUCGCUGGCUGCCUCCAGCCUGUUCGACGUUUUGCCUGCUCAGCGAGCGAUGCCCAUGCCGUGAUGCCCAGAACGGCUGGGUCGGUCACUGUAGAGCAACCUGGCCUGGCCUGCAUGUACCUGUACCCCAACGUCCAGCCUCCUGCACUGCACAGACCCCACGGCGAAGACGUAGCAUGAAUGGGCACCAUGAUUUUUUCUGGUGCGAUGCGAUGUUACUAUAGUGUGGCCCCUUGCACGUUUGGUGGAUGCCCGCUGUUGCGUUUGAGCUAAUGUGGUACCAAUGUCUUGGAUGAAGUUUAAUUUAAAUAGCCAGACAAUAGGUUCAUGCUCGGGUCAGGUGUAUCUAUGCAUGUGAUUAGUUAGGUUAUGAAUCCGAGCUAAGGCUAUCUGCACUCGUGGACCUCUAUUCCUAUCUCUUAAAAGGAAUAUUCUAUUCUAGUCAUCGAGAUUCUCUACUCAAUAACCAUUUUUCCCGCACUCGUGUUAUCUCUAUCCCAUACUCUAUACCCACUAUUCCAUAUUUUAUUCCCCUUCCUCCCCCUUUCUCUCUCUCCCCAACUCUCUCUCUCUUUUCGCUACGGUUUUUACCAUUCGCCUAUUGCUCCGCUACAAGUAGCGGUCUACCGGCCGCAUGGUAGCGUACCGCGCGCGUUGCAGGCGCGCGGUGCACGGCUUCCAGGCGCGCAACGUGUUUACAGGCCGGCUUCCAGGCGCGCGGUGCGGUUAGUCUAAUGCAUGUAGCUCUGGCGGUGCAUACACUACCAAAGGAAUGGUAUUAAAGAAAUAAAAAAAAUCCACUGAAUAGCACUUGUAUGAAUAGCACUUGUAUUCAUAGCAGAAAAUCUGAGCAUAGAAAUCAUCAACUGUACCAUCACCCUGUCGAACAAGCUGAUCCUGAUAGAUGGCUGCAAGAAAGGUAGACUGAUCAGUGGGCUCAUAAUGCUUACGAAGAAAAGCCCACAUCUGAUGUGCAAAAUCAAGUUCAACAAUAUCAGCUGAAACCCCGCCCUCCGUGGUAGCAACAAGAAUAGAAGCAGCUCGAGCAUCCUCAUCAACCCAUGUCCUGUAUGCAGUAAACUGAGAAUCAUACGAUGCAAGAUCAUCAUAAUCAGCAAGCAGCUUUGCCAUAUCCGCAUCAUAAGCAGCAAGCAACCGAUCCAUCUCCUCAGCCGUAGUCUUCUCUGGAAUCCACAGGCUUCUCAGGAAUCGCCGGGUAUAUAGGAGUAGUAGGACGAGGUGGGCAAGGCAACUCGCCAAUCAGAAACUCCCAAAGACGAAGACCACGCAUAUGAAUCUGUAGAUGAGUAACCCAAUCUCGAUAGUUGGUGCCAUUGAACAGCACUGGACAACGGACACCACCGGAGGAAGGAACUGAAGGAGCCAUGGCGAUGAUGAGAGUGCACAGAGAAAUAGCGGCGCAAGCGUUUUUUAGCCAAACCGUGCACCGCAGAAACAAAGCAGCGCAGCAAAAGAGUACGCAGAGCAGCAGUUUUUUUUUAACAGAUGGCUUAUCCCUUCACGGGAGGACAGGCAACGAAGGCAACAGAUGAGCCUUCCAUGGGCCGCACAGCACGCCCGGGCGAGCGGACGACGAGAAGAUAGGCGAAUCCGGCGGGGCCAAGGGCGGCGCGGGGCGAAUCCGGCGGGGCCGAAGAUGAAUCCGGCGGCGCGGAUGAGCGGACGAAGCCGGCGCGACGAAUCCGGCGGGGCCGGGGACGGCGCAAGCGGCAAAUCCGGCGGCGCGGACGAGCGGAAGACGGCGCGGCGGGAACGGUGACGAGUCGCGGGCGGGCGGCGGCGACGAACCACGGGCAAGCGGACGUCAACGAGUUGCGGGCGGGCGGACGGCGACGAGCCGCAGAUGGGUGGCCAGACGAGCGGGGCGACGGAAGGAAUCGACGGUGCUCUCAAAACGAAGAGCUUGGGAAAUCGAUCCAAUGGAGGCACACAAGUGCAACGUGCGUGGAAAAAAAUCACAUGAGAAGAAAUCUAAACCCUUUGGCUCCUACCAUAUUAGGAAUAGCACUUGUAUUCAUUGGAAUAGCACUUGUAUUCAUAACAGGGACGUUAAGCUCAUAUAUAUACAAGUAUAGGAAGGGGAAAAUAUACAUAAAAAUCCCUUAGAAAAGGUAAAAUACCAACAGUACAUAUACAUCUAACAAAGAUGAUGUUCCAUUGCUUUCGAUCAAACUGUCCUCGUGGGUCCAAGUGUUCCACAUAUCCUUCUGACAUUUUUUUAACGUCUAUUAACUUGGAAUGUGCAUCUUGUCUGCUUGCUUCAUCAUAUGUUGUGCAUAUCUAGUUUAAGACCCAUUCUUCUUUUUUUUAAAAAAAACUCAUUGCAAUCAUGUCAUACGCUCUGGUAAAUUGAUUUUAAAAUGACGCUUACCUUAUCUUCUGAGUAAACAUACAGUACCAGUAGCAUUUGGCAUGUGGCCCCAUGAUAUUGAAGGAAGAAUGAUUAUUGGUUCUGACGUCAACUCUAUAUGAUAAUAAAGUUUUGCAUCAUCAAAAUAUCUUCUUGACAUGCUGGGAAAUACAUGAAUUAUUUGUCGCUCGAUGCUUCUUAGGGUCUCUUUAUUUUUGUGGUUGCAAUGCUGCAUCACUAACAAAAAUGAGAUUAUAUUGCAGAGUCCCAGCAGGAAUUGGUACAAGCAAGAGAAAGGAUUGAUGAAACUUUGCGUUCCUUGUCAUCUAGUCUUGAAGAAAGAAGCCUUGGAGAAUGGAGAUGUGUCAAGUAGUGUAUUCAGAAUGAGAAACUAGAAACCAUAAAAGCCGAAGCAGUUUCCUGUAUAGUUUGCUGAUUACUUCUCUAUCAACCAUUGGUUUCACGUUUGCUGUGAAGAAAAUAGUUCCUGAACUGUGGUGUAAUCUGAUACAGUAUUAUUCUGGUCUUUCAUAAAUUGCCAAGCCGGAUGGAUCUGGGUGACAGCAUUGCAUAGCAAACAUGGGUCCUCAGAAUGGUUGCUACUGUAGUCAGAAGGAUGCAGAACAGAUAUUUUCACUAUUAUGAGCCUUGGCGACAUACACCUAGGGUUCUUAUUCUUCAUC
rnacentral:lncRNA from 1 species